rnacentral:lncRNA from 1 species
GCAUAACACAAGUAAGUAGAAAUCAGCAAGGUUGCACAUAAGAGAACUGUGGAAUGAGAUAGUUCUCUCUAUUGAAACAUAGAAAGUGAACACUACACAAGCAAGAUAGGACCAGCAAGGUUGCACUUCACAAAUAGAAUGUGGUAUGAGAUAAUUCUUCCCAUGCCAACCCUUUUUUUAUAUACUAGUACCAAGGUACCAUGUGUUACAAC